CAGUAGCCGCGGUAAUACGUAGGGUGCAAGCGUUAAUCGGAAUUACUGGGCGUAAAGCGUGCGCAGGCGGUUAUAUAAGACAGAUGUGAAAUCCCCGGGCUCAACCUGGGAACUGCAUUUGUGACUGUAUAGCUAGAGUACGGCAGAGGGGGAUGGAAUUCCGCGUGUAGCAGUGAAAUGCGUAGAUAUGCGGAGGAACACCGAUGGCGAAGGCAAUCCCCUGGGCCUGUACUGACGCUCAUGCACAAAAGCGUGGGGAGCAAACAGGAUUAGAUACCCCUGUAGUCCCUGUCUCUUAUAC
rnacentral:rRNA from 1 species